rnacentral:rRNA from 1 species
UUUCUUACGGGGCGCAGCAGUCGGGAAUAUUGCGCAAUGGAGGGAACUCUGACGCAGUGACGCCGCGUAUGGGAAGAAGGUUUUCGGAUUGUAAACCAUUGUCGUUAGGGAAGAAGAAGUGACAGUACCUAAGGAGGAAGCUCCGGCUAACUAUGUGCCAGCAGCCGCGGUAAUACAUAGGGAGCGAGCGUUAUCCGGAUUUAUUGGGUGUAAAGGGUGCGUAGACGGGAAUACAAGUUGGUUGUGAAAUCCCUCGGCUCAACCGAGGAACUGCAACCAAAACUAUAUUUCUUGAGUGCUGGAGG